rnacentral:rRNA from 1 species
GACGAACGCUGGCUGCGUGCCUAAUACAUGCAAGUCGAGCGAAGCGGCGGAUGGGUUAGUAACGCGUGGGUAACCUGCCCUUAAGUCUUUGGUACCAUUUGGAAACAGCUGCUAAUACCAGAUACUCAAUUAUGGACUUGCGAGGCAUUAGCUAGAUGGUAUGGUAACGGCUUACCAAGGCGAUGAUGAAUGGCGGAGUUGGGAGACUGAUCGGCAACACUAGGACUGAGACACGGCCCAAACUCCUACGGGAGGCAGCAGUAGGGAAUCUACCACAAUGGACGGAAGUCUGAUGGAGCACAGCAGCGUGAGUGAAGGAUGUUUUCGGAUCGUAAAGCUCUGUUGUUGGUGAAGCGGUAAUCAACCAGAAAGUCACGGCUAACUACGUGCCAGCAGCCGCGGUAAUAC